rnacentral:rRNA from 1 species
CGUGUAGGCGGCCGUACAGGUCUGUUGUGAAAACUGGAGGCUCAACCUCCAGACGUCGACAGAAACCGUGCGGCUAGAGUCCGGAAGAGGAGAGUGGAAUUCCUGGUGUAGCGGUGAAAUGCGCAGAUAUCAGGAAGAACACCAAUGGCGAAGGCAGCUCUCUGGGACGGUACUGACGCUGAGAGCGAAAGCGUGGGGAGCGAACA